UACGGGGGGGGGCAAGCGUUGUUCGGAAUUACUGGGCGUAAAGGGCUCGUAGGUGGUCAACUAAGUCAUACGUGAAAUCCCUCGGCUUAACCGGGGAACUGCGCCUGAUACUGGUUGACUUGAGUUUGGGAGAGGGACGCGGAAUUCCAGGUGUAGCGGUGAAAUGCGCAGAUAUCAGGAGGAACACCAAUUGCGAAGGCAGCUCGCUGGGACGUUACUGACGCUGAGACGCGAAAGCGUGGGGAGCAAACAGG
rnacentral:rRNA from 1 species